AUCUGACUGGGUUUUAUGGUUCUGUCUAGUGAGAUUUGCAUUAGAAUUGCCAACUUGCUGUCUCUCGGUGUGUUCUAAACACUUUACAUGCUGCUCAUCGAGGCUGUGCUGCAGUUUACCAUGACAUCAAUGGGUUAAGAGAAGAAGUGUCAAUUUGGAUAAAAUGCUAGCAGUCUGAGUGCCACUCUCACAUUAUAUCUGCCAUCAC